GACGAACGCUGGCGGCGUGCUUAACACAUGCAAGUCGAACGGAAAGGCCCUGCUUUUGUGGGGUGCUCGAGUGGCGAACGGGUGAGUAACACGUGAGUAACCUGCCCUUGACUUUGGGAUAACUUCAGGAAACUGGGGCUAAUACCGGAUAGGAGCUCCUGCUGCAUGGUGUGGGUUGGAAAGUUUCGGCGGUUGGGGAUGGACUCGCGGCUUAUCAGCUUGUUGGUGGGGUAGUGGCUUACCAAGGCUUUGACGGGUAGCCGGCCUGAGAGGGUGACCGGCCACAUUGGGACUGAGAUACGGCCCAGACUCCUACGGGAGGCAGCAGUGGGGAAUAGUGCACAAUGGGCGGAAGCCUGAUGCAGCAACGCCGCGUGCGGGAUGACGGCCUUCGGGUUGUAAACCGCUUUCGCCUGUGACGAAGCGUGAGUGACGGUAAUGGGUAAAGAAGCACCGGCUAACUACGUG
rnacentral:rRNA from 1 species